UACGGAGGAUGCAAGCGUUAUCCGGAAUUAUUGGGCGUAAAGCGUCCGCAGGUGGCACUUCAAGUCUGCUGUCAAAGACCGGGGCUUAACCCUGGAAAGGCAGUGGAAACUGAAGCGCUAGAGUGUGGCAGGGGUAGAGGGAAUCCCCGGUGUAGCGGUGAAAUGCGUAGAGAUCGGGAAGAACAUCGGUGGCGAAAGCGCUCUACUGGGCCAUAACUGACACUCAGGGACGAAAGCUAGGGGAGCGAAUGGG
rnacentral:rRNA from 1 species